rnacentral:misc_RNA from 1 species
AACGCAUAUUGCGCUCGAGACUUCGGUCGAGAGCAUGCCUGUCUCAGCGUCGGCUCACCCCUCGCCCACCCUCCUCCCUUCUUCCUCCAAGGAAAAAGGGCGGAGGUGCCUGGACGGACGUGGCCGUCUCGAUUUCUUUCAAUAGAACAUCGGGUCGGCUGAAGUGCAGGGCCCGCGGCGCGACCCGGACAAGAGGGCGCCAGCAUGGUAGGUGGCUUUCAAUGCCGCAUGCCGCUGUCGCCUGCCCUUGGCCCGACCAGUGUCGCAUCCAAUCGUCCGCUCGGCCACCAAGCAGGAAACUGUGUCGGUCGCCCGUCGGUUGUAAAAUAAUCGGCGGCGCCGGCACACUCAAACCUUCGACCUGAGAUCAGACAAGACUACCCGCUGAACUUAA